CACGUAGGAUCCAAGCGUUAUCCGGAUUUACUGGGCGUAAAGCGCGUGUAGGUGGUUUGUUAAGUUGGGUGUUAAAUCUCUCGGCUCAACUGAGAGGUGUCGCUCAAAACUAGCAGACUGGAGGACGGUAGAGGAAGGUGGAAUUCCGGGUGUAGUGGUGAAAUGCGUAGAUAUCCGGAGGAACACCAGUGGCGAAGGCGGCCUUCUGGACCGCUCCUGACACUCAAACGCGAAAGCUAGGGGAGCAAACGGG
rnacentral:rRNA from 1 species